rnacentral:rRNA from 1 species
AGCGAACGCUGGCGGCAGGCCUAACACAUGCAAGUCGAACGAACCCUUCGGGGUUAGUGGCGGACGGGUGAGUAACACGUGGGAACGUGCCUUUAGGUUCGGAAUAACUCAGGGAAACUUGUGCUAAUACCGAAUGUGCCCUUCGGGGGAAAGAUUUAUCGCCUUUAGAGCGGCCCGCGUCUGAUUAGCUAGUUGGUGAGGUAAAGGCUCACCAAGGCUACGAUCAGUAGCUGGUCUGAGAGGAUGACCAGCCACAUUGGGACUGAGACACGGCCCAAACUCCUACGGGAGGCAGCAGUGGGGAAUCUUGCGCAAUGGGCGAAAGCCUGACGCAGCCAUGCCGCGUGGAUGACGAAGGUCUUAGGAUUGUAAAAUUCUUUCGCCGGUGAAGAUAAUGACUGUAGCCGGAGAAGAAGCCCCGGCUAACUUCGUGCCAGCCGCCGCAGUAACAC